AUGCAUCCACAGGCACAAUCGCCACGGCGGAUUUCGUCUGCCCUGGCGAUCUCAGCGACGGCCACGACGGGAUGCAUCUCCGAACUCCCCAUCAGCUUCGUGGAAAAAUUCUCAUCACGUGAUAAGCUGCAACAGAUCGUCACGGCGGCUUCUACUGUUAAGGAUGUUGAACAUGCAUCAGCGGUGAUCCAUAAUUCAAGUGUCGACCAUCGGUGUGCCUAUGCAUCUAGCCAUGGUGUGGCCCAUCUCACUUGCCCUGCUACUUCUGUUGAAAAUACUAGUGCUGCAGAAUAUGAACCGAACUUCAGUAUGGUGGAUGGAGCUUCAGCUACAGAAUCAGGUAAAAGCUUGCAAACUCAAAUGAAUGAGCGCGAAUUUACUACGCCAAGAAAGAAAGAAAGCAUUCCCCUAUUCUGCUCGUCUUUUACGCCGAGUUGCGACGAAAAAUUUACAGGGGUCAACCAUCACUUACAGAGUGUGUUUUUUGGUGCGGCAUUCUUGUGCAAUGAGCAGACUGAGUCAUAUGUUUGGUUAUUUGAGACCUUCCUUACAGCAAUGGGAGGGGUAGCACCUAGACUCAUUAUAACUGAUGAAGCUGUUAGCAUGAAGAAUGCGAUUGAAACAGUUUUUCCGACCACAGUGCAUAGGUUAUGUAUGUGGCACAUAAUGGAAAAACUUCCGGAGAAGAUUGGACCAAUAAUUAGAGAAGAGUCUGAAUUUUGGGACAAGAUGAAUUCGUGUGUAUGGGGUUCGGAAACUCCAGCAGAGUUUGAAUCACAAUGGAAUUCUGUCAUUACGGAGUAUGGCUUGGAGGAAAAUGAGUGGCUGGUUAAAAGGUUUAGCAUUCGCGAGUCAUGGAUACCAGCUUACUUUAUGAACAUACCAUUGGCGGGUAUUCUCCGAACCACUUCAAGGUCUGAAAGUGCAAAUUCAUUUUUUAACCGUUUUAUUCAUCGUAAGCUUGCUUUGGUUGAGUUCUGGCUUAGGUUUGACAUGGCAUUAGAAUGCCAACGAGAAGAAGAGUUGAUUGCUGACAACUCAAGCAUUCAUACAACCCCGCAACUAUUGACACCAUGGGAAAUGGAGAAACAAGGUAGAGAUGUGUUUACAUAUGAGGUGUUUGAGAAAUUUCAGAAAGAGAUUGUUGCAGCAAGAGACCAUUGUUGCAUCCAAGGCAUUGCACAAGAUGGAACACUAAAAAUAGUGACAUUGAGAGGUCGAUCCCAUAGGAUUAGGGAAGUUCAGUCUGACACCAAAACCAUGAUAGCUCAUUGUUCAUGUAAGUUAUUUGAAACAAUUGGAAUCCCGUGCCGCCAUAUCAUGCAGGUGUUGAGGGCUGAAAAUCAAAAUGAACUUCCAUCUUACUACAUUAUGAAAAGAUGGAAGAAACGGUGCAAAAGGGAGAAUGUGUAUGAUGAGCAUGGGAAUUUAAUAGAAGAGAAGGCAACCGAUUCGUUGAAUGAAGCUACGAGGAAGAAGAUUUCAGUUGUACGCAACAAGUUGGAAGAUCUAAUUCAGAAGGCCAAGCACUCGGAUGAAGGCAUGGAUUUUCUAACAUCAAGUGUAUUAAAUAUUGAAGCACCUUUGGAUGAAAUGGUUCCCACAUCAGGUGUGAAGCACACUAGACAAGAUGAGAAUGAGGCUUUUAUUGGUUGCAAUAUUCCUACUGAAAUUGACAUACACCCGCCAACUGAUGUUCGCACGGUGGGGAGAUGCAAAAGAAUAAAGAGAGGAAAGGAAAUAAGUGAGGAGGAACAGAAAAAGAAGAAGAAGGAAGCCAAGGUAAAGGUUGCACGCUUGUGCAAGACAACAAAUAGUUUUUCAUGA
rnacentral:rRNA from 1 species